GCCGCCUCUCCCGGUCCGCCGCCUGUGGAAGACUUCACUUCGUGACGGUGCAGGAGGGGCUGCGCCCGGGCGGGGUGGGCGACCGGCCUUCGUGACCCCCGGCCGCCCCUGCCUGGGCUGCUGCCCACGAGCCCCUUUCUGAGCCAGAGGCGCCCGCGGGGAGUCCGCCCCGCAUCCCGGCGUCCAGGGGGCGAGCCUGGGGCGGCGGCGGGUCCUGCAGGCUCCACUGCCUUCUGUGACCUUGUUCGGGCCCGUCCUCCAGCCACGCUCCCCGACUCCGGCUGCCCGGCCGCGCCUCCUCCCCGGGCUAGUGAGCUUCUCUGGGGCGGGACCGUCGAACGAUCAGAGUCCCUUCUCUGGGGCGUGAUCUCGGAGGUGAUGCGUUUGCAUAGUUUUGACUCUUCAUACUGCCUCGGGAAAGCAGGGUUCCCGCGCACUGUGCGCUGCUGCGACCCCGUUGCUUAGUCUGGCACCUGGCGUGGGUGGCAAUCCGCACCUCACACACUGAAAGAUGAAUGAAGCUUCUGGGGGGCAGAUGCUCCAGUGCUGUGGCCGCUUUGGCCUCACCUUAUAUCCCUGCCAAAGAACGUCUGAGGUUAGAGGUCCCUCCGCCAGGACACAUGGAUGCCAACCCACCGAGCCUCAUGGUAGGAGUCUGUCUGCCUCCAUUCCUGCUAGAGUCCUACUUUUUUCCUCUAGGAACCUACCCUGCCUGCUGGGCCUGGUCCUAGACCCUCCUCGGCCCCUGGUGGCCCUUGGCAGGCUCAGGCGUGCUCAUCCUUACAGGAGCGAACAAACCCCUGCCCAGACUGGGGCCCAUCUGAGGCCCUCAUGGGGGGAGGUCUGUAGAUCACCCUGGUCUGGCUUCCUCCUCCCCUCGAUUUUUAGAGCCGAAAGGGCCUGGUGACUGGCUCAACCCUGUGGUGCAUGUCCCUGAGACACACACAUGAGGUGGAGCCAGAAUGGGGCUGGCACCCAGGGUUCCCUGGGGUGCUGGUGUAUGUCUUUUCAGGAGGCUGUGACGUUUGGUGACGUGGCCGUACACUUCUCAAGGGAGGAGUGGCAGUGCCUGGACCCUGGCCAGAGGGCACUGUACAAGGAGGUGAUGCUGGAGAACCACAGCAGCGUGGCUGGACUAGGUGAGGCUGUGUCUUGGGACCCCUCCUCCUGCAUCAUGGGUCAGCACCCACCUAGUCAGGCCCGUUGUCUGGGGGGUGGGGGGGCCGUGGGUCUCUGAGGGUCAGGAACUGACCCUGGGAUGUGUCAUGGUGAGUUCUGUGCAUUGUAAACACCAUUUUGCAUGCUUUUAUGUUUGUUAACUUUGUGAGGUCAGAUUUUAAUGAAAUUUAAUCCGUUAGUAUUCGCCUUAUGGAUUGUACGUUUGAAACCUUAUUUAAAGAUUCUUUCAUACUCUAAGGUCAUGGAGACAGUCUACACGUUCUCCUGUGGGCUUUCUAGUUUAUGUUUCUUGUUUAGAUCUGGGCUCCACGUUUGUGUCUGGAGUUAAGUAGGAGCCCAUCCUUUUCCAUUGAUUUGUGGGGCUGCCUUUCUCCUGUGUGACAGUGUGCUUCCCAGCUGGCCUUGUAGUGUGUCUUAAUGCCUGGUAGGACAACUUCCCUUUUUUGUUCUUUUUAAAACUUCACUUACUUAUUCAGGGGUAAUAGGGUAAUUCUUUCAUGUAAAUUUAGAGUAAGUUUGAGUUUUUUAAUACUUGGAACUGAGCUUUUCAUUGGGGGUGCUUUGAAUUUGUAGAAUUCCUAAAAGGAAAACUAAUCUCUUUCUCAUACUAAUUGUUCUCAUCCAAGAUCAUAGAACGUGUCUCCAUUUGUUCCAUUUACCUCCUGUGUACUUUGUUAGAAUUCUGGGAUUUUCUCCAGGAUGGUCUGGUACCUUCUAGAUGCUUUAUU
rnacentral:lncRNA from 1 species